GAUGCUGGGGACACUGAGAGACCCGGGGACACUGGGAGACAUGGGGACACUGGAAGAAAUGGGGACACUGAGACACUAGGGACACAGACACUGGGAGACAUGGGGACACUGAAACAUUUGGGGACACUAAGACACUAGGGACACAGACAUGGGAACACAGACACUGGGAGACUAGGGGACACUGGGAGACUAUGGGACACUGGCUGGGAGACAGACACUUGGGGACACUGGGAG